rnacentral:lncRNA from 1 species
ACGCAGGGCCACCUGGUUGGUUCAGUCAGAAUGCAAAAGGAAGUAUAUCAAUAGAGAUUUAGAAUCCUAAAGAUUCACAUGAACAUUUUGUAAUUAUAAAAAUAUAGUAGUGAAAAUUAAGAAUGCAUUUGGUAGUCAGUGUAAAGUCGAAUGAACAAUAAUCUUAUGCAGAGAGAAAAAAGAACAGAACAUUAAAGAAAUACAGGAAAGUCAAAACAUGAAAUUGAACACCUAAAAAAAUAGGACAGAAAAUUUAUUUGAAGAAAUAAUGUACAAAAACAUCACAAAUCUCCAUGAAAUGUUUUGAUGCAUAAAUUAAAAAAUUCAUCAAAGCAAACCAGAUAAAGUAAGGAAAUCCAUACCUAGGCACAGCAUGGUCAAACUGUUGAAAAACAGAGUUUAAAAACAUAUCCUAAUAGCAUGUAGUUUUAAAAAAGAUAACAGUUAAAAAAAAACAACAAGAAAGAGUUCAUUUCUCAACGAAACUAUAGUGGCCUGAUGAAUGGAAUUUUAUCUUUAAAGUGUUGAAAGAAAAAAAAUGACAACUGUGAAGUUUAUACCCAGAGAAAAUAUCUUUCAGAAAUGAAGGAAAGAUCCUUUUCUAACAAAAGCUUAGAGAAUUUCUUAUUAACAAGAAAUACUAAAGGACAACAGUCAGGCUAAAGGCAAAUAAUCCCAGGUGGAAGCAUGGAUGUGCAAAAAGCUAUGGCAUAUUAAAUAUAUGACUAAUAUAACUAAACAGAUGGAUUGUUUAAAGCAACAAAAAUAAUAUUGCUUGUGGGGCUUGUAAUACAGGAAGAAGAAAUGACAAUACUACCAUAAAUGGAGUUAGACUAUUAAAAUGUUUUUAUAUUAUUUGAUAUGUAGUAAAAGCCCUAAUUUAAGGGAGAUUGUCUUAAAGAUGCAUUCUAUAAUAGCUCAAUUAACUAUUAAAAGAAUUAUACAAAGAUGUACAACCAGAAAAUCCUAAUAGAGAUAAAAUGAAAUAAUAAAAAUACAUGAUUAAUACAAAAGAACACAGGUAAAGAGGAAUAAAGAAAUAAAAAUGGAACAAGACAAAAAAUAUAUUGCAAGAUGACAGACUUAAGCCAAAUUGUAUCAUUAAUUCUAGUAAAAUGUAAAUGUACCAAAUAUCGCAAUUAAAAUAUAAGAUCUUCAUAUUAGAUUAAAGAGAAAAACAGGAUCAAUUAUGCUGCCUAUAAGAAAUACACUUUAAAUGUAAAGACACAAAUAUAUUAGACAAUAAUUAGAAAAACACUAGUAUUGGUAUAUCAAUAACAGAUACAAUAAAUAUAUGUCAUACAAUUUAAGAAGAAUAUGGUAGUCCUACAUUUCUUAUAACAUAGCUUUAAAAUAUAGAAAGCAAAGGUCAACAGAACUAAAGGAUAGACAAAGUUAUAAUUGAAGUUUGAGAGUUUAAUACUCUCUAUUGGUAACCAAUAACAGGAAGAGAAAAAAAAUCCAGAGGGCCAUAGAAGUUUGAACAGAAUUAAUCAAAUUGACCUAAUUGAACAUGCUUCUAAAUUAAAGACUACACAUUCUUUUCAAAUGCUCAGAAUAUAUUUAUCAGAAUGUUCUGAGCGAUAAAACAAGCAUCUAUAAAUUUCAAAUGAUUAAUAUCAAAAAAGAAUGUAUAUAUUUCUAAGCCUUUGGAAUUAGAACUUAAAAACAGGUAUUUCUCAGAUGUUUCCAAAUAUAAAAAGUUCAUCUUUAAAUACGUAUAGGUCAAAAACAAAAUCAUAAACUGGAAACCAGAAAAUAUUUUGAGCUGAAGGUAUAACAUAAAAAAACUUGUGAGAUGUGCUCCAACCAAUGCUUACAAAGACAUUUUUUAGCUUUAAAUAUGUUGUUUUGUUUUUUAUAAAUGCCACUCAUUGUUUAAUCUCCAUCAUAGUUGUUAGGUGUACUACAGAUAUAUUGACACAGCAAGUAUAUUGGUAGUGAAAUGAUGGAAAUCCUUUGUCAAAUUACAUCAAUGCUAAAUAAAUCUGGAAUUUAUUUUCUCCCAGUGGAGAGCAUGAGCAUUUGUAAUAACUGUUCUCUUAGUUUUUUCUUUCUAUUCUUUGAUCUCCUUCAUCCAAACAUAAAUGUAUGUAUUAUUUAAGUAGAAAGGUUAAAAAUAAAUGAUUUACCUUUGGAAGCUGGAAAAAGAAAAGCAAAUUUAGCCUAUAGAAAGUAGAGCAUACUAAAAGAAACCAGUGACAAAACCUCACAUAUACAACAAAGAAAAAUCAAUAAAGCCAAAAACUACCUCACUGAAGAGAUAAAGUUGAUAAGCCUCUUACAAGUCAAGAAAAUAAGUGUCAAUAUCAGGAAUAUGGAAGGAGAUAUCACUACAUAUAUUACAGACAUUAAACUGGUAACAAUUUCAUGAACAACUCUAUUGUUGAAAAUAUAUAUGAAAUUUUAAAAUGCCUUGAAAAUAUAAUUUAACUGAACUAAUAUAAGAAAUGAAAAAUCUGAAUAUUGUUAUACUUAUUAAAGAAAUAAAAUCUUUACUAAGGACCUUCUCAUAAAAAUGUCAGCCUGAGAGGCUUCAGUGGCAAAUUCUCCCAAACAUAUAAGGAAUUUAAAAUACCAGUCAAACACAGUAUCUUCUAGAAAACAGGAAAAAAUGGACCAUAUCAUGAGGCAUAACUAUGGUAUCAAAACCUGACAGGGACAUUAAUUACAAGAAAGGAAAAUUACAGUACAUCUCUCAUGAACAUUGAUGUAAGCAUAUCAAACCAAAUAUUAGCAAGGAUAUUAAACCAAAUAAGGAAUCACAGGGUGGCUCAGUGGUUUAGUGCCUGCCUUUGGCCUAGGGCAUGAUCCUGGGGUCCCGGGAUCAGAUCCUGCAUUGGGCUCCUUGCAUGGAGCCUGCUUCUCUCUCUCUGUGUGUCUCUCAUGAAUGAUUAAAUAAAAUCUGUUAAAAAAAAACAAAUAUUACCAGUGAUAUAGAGGGCAAGAGAGAUUCAGUCUAGGAAUAUAAAAGUAAUUUAAUUUAAAAAAUCAAUCAACAUAACCUUCCAACUUUAAAUAAUAAAGGAGAAAGCCAUGUACAUGUCAUUAUGUGCAGAAACUUUGAUAAUAUUCAACCACUGCUCAUAAUAAAAAUUCUUGGCAAACUAGGAAAAGAAGGGUACUUCUUUUAUUUGAUAAAGGGGAUCUAUAGAAUUAAACUACAACUAUCAUGAUAUGAGAGGUGGAAUAUGGAUCACUGUCCUGAGUUCAGGAACAAGGCAAACUGGUCCAUUAUUACUAGUUGUACUAAAUUUUGUACUGUAAGACCUAUCCAAUACCAUAUGGAGGGGAAAAAGUAAAAUGAAAGGUAUGAAGAUUGGAAAAAAAAGUAAAAUCAUUUUUAUUUGCAGAUAAUAUGAUUUUAUACAUAAAAAUUUCAGUUCUACAAACUAUUAGAUUAAAUGAAUUUAUUAGCAAGAUUGUUGAAUAAAAGGCCAAAGUAUAAAACAAUUAAUUGUAUUAAAACAGUUAUUGGAAAAGUAAAAUUUUAAAUCCCAACAGUUGGGAUCCCUGGGUGGUGCAGCAGUUUGGCGCCUGCCUUUGGCCCAGGGCGCGAUCCUGGAGACCCGGGAUCGAAUCCCACAUCAGGCUCCUGGUGCAUGGAGCCUGCUUCUCCCUCUGCCUAUGUCUCUGCCUCUCUCUCUCUCUCUCUCUCUCUCUCUCUCUCUGACUAUCAUAAAUAAAUAAAAAUAAAAAAAA